AUUGAACGCUGGCGGCAUGCCUUACACAUGCAAGUCGAACGGCAGCACGGGAGCAAUCCUGGUGGCGAGUGGCGAACGGGUGAGUAAUAUAUCGGAACGUGCCCAGUCGUGGGGGAUAACGUAGCGAAAGCUACGCUAAUACCGCAUACGAUCUAUGGAUGAAAGCGGGGGAUCGCAAGACCUCGCGCGAUUGGAGCGGCCGAUAUCAGAUUAGGUAGUUGGUGNGGUAAAGGCUCACCAAGCCGACGAUCUGUAGCUGGUCUGAGAGGACGGACCCAGCCACACCUGGGACUGAGACACGGCCCCAGACUCCUACGGGAGGCAGCAGUGGGGGAAUUUUUGGGACAAUGGGCGCAAGCCUGAUCCAGCAAUGCCGCGUGCAGGAUGAA
rnacentral:rRNA from 1 species